rnacentral:rRNA from 1 species
GAUGAACGCUGGCGGCGUGCCUAAUACAUGCAAGUCGAGCGAACAGACGAGGAGCUUGCUCCUCUGACGUUAGCGGCGGACGGGUGAGUAACACGUGGAUAACCUACCUAUAAGACUGGGAUAACUUCGGGAAACCGGAGCUAAUACCGGAUAAUAUAUUGAACCGCAUGGUUCAAUAGUGAAAGACGGUUUUGCUGUCACUUAUAGAUGGAUCCGCGCCGCAUUAGCUAGUUGGUAAGGUAACGGCUUACCAAGGCAACGAUGCGUAGCCGACCUAAGAGGGUGAUCGGCCACACUGGAACUGAGACACGGUCCAGACUCCUACGGGAGGCAGCAGUAGGGAAUCUUCCGCAAUGGGCGAAGGCCUGACGGAGCAACGCCGCGUGAGUGAUGAAGGUCUUCGGAUCGUAAAACUCUGUUAUUAGGGAAGAACAAAUGUGUAAGUAACUAUGCACGUCUUGACGGUACCUAAUCAGAAAGCCACGGCUAACUACGUG